rnacentral:rRNA from 1 species
UUAGGCGGAUUUAUCUGCCGCUCAUGGAUGGGCCUGCGGUGCAUUAGCUAGUUGGUGAGAUAGUAGCUCACCAAGGCGACGAUGCAUAGCCGACCUGAGAGGGUGAUCGGCCACACUGGGACUGAGACACGGCCCAGACCCCUACGGGAGGCAGCAGUAGGGAAUCUUCCGCAAUGGACGCAAGUCUGACGGAGCAACGCCGCGUGAGUGAUGAAGGGUUUCGGCUCGUAAAACUCUGUUGUUAAGGAAGAACACUUGAGGUAGUAACUGGCCUUGAGAUGACGGUA